CAAGGCGACGAUCAGUAGCUGGUCUGAGAGGAUGAUCAGCCACACUGGGACUGAGAUACGGCCCAGACUCCUACGGGAGGCAGCAGUCGAGAGGCUUCGGCAAUGGGGGAAACCCUGACCGAGCGACGCCGCGUGGAGGAUGAAGGCCCCUGGGUUGUAAACUCCUUUUGCUGGGGAAGAAACCCGAUCAGGUGAACAAUCUGGUCGUUUGACGGUACCCGGCGAAUAAGCUCCGGCUAACUCCGUGCCAGCAGCCGCGGUAACACGGGGGGAGCAAGCGUUGUUCGGAAUCACUGGGCGUAAAGGGCGUGUAGGCGGUCAGGUAAGUGGGAUGUGAAAUCCCUCGGCUCACCCGAGGACCUGCAUCCCAAACUGCUUGGCUUGAGUAUGGGAGAGGAUGAGGGAAUUCCUGGUGUAGCGGUGAAAUGCGUAGAUAUCAGGAGGAACACCGGUGGCGAAAGCGCUCAUCUGGCCCAAUACUGACGCUGAGGCGCGAAAGCUAGGGGAGCAAACGGGAUUAGAUACCCCGGUAGUCCUAGCCGUAAACGGUGAUCACUAGGUGUUGGAGGCAUCGACCCCUCCAGUGCCGCAGCUAACGCAUUAAGUGAUCCGCCUGGGGAGUACGGCCGCAAGGUUGAAACUCAAAUGAAUUGACGG
rnacentral:rRNA from 1 species